GCGGGUGGCCGAGGCCGUGCGCGCCUGGGGAGCCGGGGACGCGCCUGAGUCACCGCCGCACAGAACCUUCCAGGAGCCCCAGGCGCAGUUAGGAGGGGGGGGCAUCGCGGAAUAAGGAAACCGAGGCACGCAGACACCCCCGCCCCCGGGGGGAGAUUGCAACAAGGGCUCUUGAGCUGACUGCAAGGGUGAGGGCGAGCAUUUGUGGCGGAGGCAUUCAGCCCACAGUUUGGCAGGGAGCGGCUGCUGGGUGACAGGCGGUUGCUACUUUAAAACAGUCACCAUUAUUACCACCGCUGCUGCAGAGAGGUGUCUAGGAGCUGGGAUGUUGUGAUCUCCCCGGCUCCGGAGGGAACCAAGCCGAGGCUGAGCAAAUCUGAGAUGGAAACUCAUGCUCUCCACUUUCUGAAAGCAGUCUGCCCCUGAGCCCCCUCGGAGUCUACCCCGGAUGGAUGGGAUGAAGGAAGCCAGAGACUGUUUUAUGCAGCCUUUUCUGAAUGGCCAGUUUAUGCAGUGAUGGAGAUUGAACCCAUGACGUUGUCGACGUGAGGCAAAUGCUCUGCCAACAGAGCUAUUCUAAGGCCAUUAUUUGACUUUAUGAAGACAGGGUCUUGUUGAGUAGCCCAAGUUGGUCUGUACCCUUUCGUCCUCUGGCCUCAGCCCCUGGGGAGGGCUCGCAUCUGAGUCCCUGCCUCCACAUCCAGUUUAGACUUGUUAAGUCUUUGCAAGACACUAUCCUUGGGCUUCAAUGAGCCAUCACCCUUCUCUCUCCCGUUUAUGUCUGUGUCUGGUCUGCUGUGAUUCCCUGCAGGCUCCAUAAACUC